rnacentral:rRNA from 1 species
UGCGGUAAUUUGACCGUGCAAAGGUAGCAUAAUCAGUAGUCUUUUAAUUGAAGGCUUGUAUGAACGGUUGGAUGAAGGAAAAGCUGUCUCUUUUAUAAUUUAAAACUUGACUUUUAAGUGAAAAGGCUUAAAUAGCGUAGUGGGACGAUAAGACCCUAUAAAACUUUAUAUGUUGCUUGCUUUUUUUUAAAAUUCUAUUUAAAAUUUGAAAAGCAUUCUUCAUAUUUUGUUGGGGAGACAUUGAUAUAAGUUGUAACUGUCUAAAUAAAAAAUAUAAUUAUCAUUAUAAUUCGAUCCUUCUUUGUGGAUAAAAAGAAUAAGUUACUUUAGGGAUAACAGCGUGAUUUUUUCUGAGAGUUCUUAUCGAAGAAAGUAGUUGCGACCUCGAUGUUGAAUUAA